CAGGUGGACAAAAUGCAGCGAACAGCACUGGCAAGGGCACUAUCAUCACAACAGCUGAACAAUCUCCAACCAUCACAACUGGAUACAACAAAACUUCGUCUACGACGACUAACAGUUCUUCAAUAACAACACCCUUAUUAACUUCAGCUGAACAAUGUCCAACCAACACAACUGGAUACAACAAAACUUCGUCUACGACGACUAACAGUUCUUCAAUAACAACACCCUUAUCAACUUUAGCAUCAACAAGCACGCCUGGAAACGAAACAACCGAUGGACAGGGUUCUUCAAACAGUACACUAGCAGCAACAACGAACACAUGGGACCAAAAUGGAUGAUCAAGAUAUGAGACUGCUUGGUCGUUGAUAGCCAUACUGUUGCCAGUAGCAACUAGGCACUUCUGAACGAUGUCUGCAAGGUACCGCGUUCUAAUUACAUUGCUUACUAUAUAAGGAACAGGCAGAAGUUACAGCAGAUAAUAUGAUCUUCUUAAACAUUAAUCACCGUAAGAUGCUGGUUGACGUUAAUGUUGGUUGAUCACUGUUUAAAAACAUUGUCAGAAUUUGAGAAACAGUUGAAGCUCCUAUGUCCAAAAACAUAAUUUAAAGCUUGCUUAACUGGCAUCAGUUUUAAUGAAAGAAGGUUCCAUUUACUAACAUUCACUAAAAUUUAUAUAGUUUGUAAAAAUAAUGGUUAGGUUUGAAUGCGCUUGGUGCGAAAGAAAUAUAUGCUUUACUGUAUGCCUGAAACAAACGAGUAAUUUUAGUAGAAUUUCUCAUGAGGUAUCACGAGAUAUUGCGUGUGUACAGCAGUAUUACUAAAUCAUUAUUAUUUCAACGAUUUUUAUAUUAUUUUUUUUGUAUUUAUAUCAGUAAAAUUCCCAUAAUACA